UUGNAAGUCAUAUGCUUGUCUCAAAGAUUAAGCCAUGCAAGUCUAAGUUUAAGCACAUAAACGGCGAAACUGCGAAUGGCUCAUUAAAUCAGUUAUCGUAUAUUUGAUAGUACCUACUACAUGGAUAACCGUGGUAAUUCUAGAGCUAAUACAUGCUUAAAAUCCCGACUUCGGAAGGGAUGUAUUUAUUAGAUUAAAAACCAAUGCCCUUCGGGGCUCACUGGUGAUUCAUAAUAACUUCUCGAAUCGCAUGGCCUUGUGCCGGCGAUGGUUCAUUCAAAUUUCUGCCCUAUCAACUUUCGACGGCUGGGUAUUGGCCAGCCGUGGUUACAACGGGUAACGGAGGGUUAGGGCUUGACCCCGGAGAAGGAGCCUGAGAAACGGCUACUACAUCCAAGGAAGGCAGCAGGCGCGCAAAUUACCCAAUCCCGAUACGGGGAGGUAGUGACAAUAAAUACUGAUACAGGGCUCUUUUGGGUCUUGUAAUUGGAAUGAGUACAAUUUAAAUCCCUUAACGAGGAACAANUGGNNNNNNNNNNNNNNNNNNNNNNUGAGCGGNCUUUCAGCUCCAAUAGCGUAUAUUAAAGUUGUUGCAGUUAAAAAGCUCGUAGUUGAACCUUGGGCCUGGCUGGCCGGUCUGCCUCACCGCAUGCACUGGUCCGGCCGGGUCUUUCCCUCUGGGGAUCCGCAUGCCCUUCAUUGGGUGUGUCGGGGAACCAGGACUUUUACUGUGAAAAAAUUAGAGUGUUCAAAGCAGGCCUAUGCUCGAAUACAUUAGCAUGGAAUAAUAGAAUAGGACGUGUGGUUCUAUUUUGUUGGUUUCUAGGACCGCCGUAAUGAUUAAUAGGGACAGUCGGGGGCAUCAGUAUUCAAUCGUCAGAGGUGAAAUUCUUGGAUCGAUUGAAGACUAACUACUGCGAAAGCAUUUGCCAAGGAUGUUUUCAUUAAUCAGGAACGAAAGUUAGGGGAUCGAAAACGAUCAGAUACCGUUGUAGUCUUAACCAUAAACUAUGCCGACUAGGGAUCGGACGAUGUUAUUUCUUGACUCGUUCGGCACCUUACACGAAAGUAAAGUUUUUGGGUUCU
rnacentral:rRNA from 1 species